CGACUUAAGAAAAUGGUUGCACUGUCCAUAAAAAGACAUUGUUUGUAUUAUGAGAAUAUUUGUAGUGCAUGAAACAUAACCCGCUUCCCAUAAUUCAAAAACUAUAUAGGAAAUUACUUCAAGUUGAAUAACUUCCACAUUUCAAACAAAACGCUGGCAGCAUUCAGUCUCAAAUCCCUUCUACUUUAGUAAACAAAAUGAUUAAUUAUAAAUCACUGCUCGUUUCAACGUUGCUCGUCAUCGGAAUGGUGAUUCUUACCGAGAGUUAUGCAGUGGCUGCAGUUGCAUCAAAUCUUUCGAGACAAGGUUAUUUUACAUCCUCGGUUUCUAAUAACCAAAGGUCAAACCUUAAUAGUGGUAAUAAAGACAAACUGUUUAAAGAUAUAUUGGUGGGAAAAUUUAUGUAAUGUAUAU